CUCCUCCCUGCUUCCCAGAGCAGAAUCCGGAGCCACCUAUUCUCUCCAAGUUUGUCUCGCAGCCAGGCUGGGAACCGUGCGCGAGCGACUCCCGGACCCGGCAAUCAGUCUUCCCUGCCCCAGCGUCGGAGACGAACAAUCACCACCAGCGGCUGCUGAGUGCUAGACGCUUUACUCCCACAGCUCCAAAAGCCACAGACGAGCAGACCCCCAGAAAUUAGUCCUCGCCACUCAGAUGAGGCAGCUCUGCGAAAUUGGAUGAUGUGCUUGGACUCACAAGGCUAAUAACGCUAGGAGAGCAGCGGUUUCAAACCUACAGUACCAGAGGCUGACCUCAACGCAACGCCCGAGGCUGGGCGCAAACCAACCAGUUCGGAAUGCCAUAAUUCACAGAGACAUUCCCACGGACCGGAACCAGAGAGUCCCCCAAGAGCACCGAGUGUGACCGGUACUGGCGGACGAUCACCCCUUAGCAGGAGCUGGAGAACACUUACCAUAAAAGAGAGGGCGAGCGCCUGCCUGGGAGGAAUCCCCAGCGCUGGCAGGUCCGGGACUCCCGGGAGAGAGGUCUGCUGCCACUGCCGCCCACGCAGGGGCGCCCGAGCGACCCCGCGGAUGCUGGCUGCUGCUUCUCAACCAGCGGCGCGUCCUCUCGACUUGUAUCCGGCGGCAGCGCCCUCUCGCUCCGCAGGGUGCCCUGGAGUUAGGGACGUUCUUGGAGAAGUUGACGCUCGGGAGAGGCCGCC
ensembl:antisense Gm16010 predicted gene 16010